UUUCUUUCUGGUAUUUUUUUUUUCUUAAGUUGAAAUGAACAUGAAAGAGGGAGGAAAGAUAUUUGGAAAACAUACUGCAUUGCUUGUAUUUAUUAUGUCUUUUAUAUAUAUACCUUGCAAUGUGUUAAUUUAUGAUUAGAUGUAUCACCUGUUGUUACUACUAUUUAUUUCUUAGUAUGUGGUUUGUUAGAAAUUUUUAUUUAAUGUAUCACAUGUUGUUGUAUAUUUUGGCAAUUAACUUUUUUUUUUAAUUUCAUUUUUACAGAGCUUCUUCUAUGAGGGGCGUUGCUCCAUCAAUAUGCAUGCUCAUGUUUUAUUUCAUAUUUUCUUUUCCAUUUUUCCCCUUUUUAUUUAUU
rnacentral:lncRNA from 1 species